rnacentral:lncRNA from 1 species
AUCAGUUAGUGAGUAAAGCUCAAAAGUGAAUCUUUUCUUGCAAGAACAGAAAAAACAAAACCCUCCCCUUUGAAAAUGUUCAAAUACGUCAUUGUUGUCCUGGCUCUGAUUGCUGCAGCUUUUGCCGCUCCAAAGCCAAUCCUGCUGGCGGCUCCAGCUUCGUAUUCGUACAGCGAGCGCUUCGACAGGCCAGCAGCUGCUACCACCUUCUAUUCGCUUCCCUAUGCUGGCUAUCAGACCGCAUAUCAGGCUCCGUUGGCUUAUCCUGCUGCAUAUCCGGCUGCGUACGCUUAUCUGUAGGACGGGCUCAUCAAUGAAAACGGAAUGCUUUUUGGCGCGGAGCACCGCAUGAGGUUUGGAAUAAAGGACUUUUGAUGGAUACUUUCAAAUCAAACGAGAAGUGAGAGAAUAAAUUUGGAAAGUGAACCU